rnacentral:rRNA from 1 species
AUACAUUAGGCGCAAGCGUUAUCCGGUAUUAUUGGGCGUAAAGCGUGCGUAGGCGGUUUAUUAAGUCUGAUGUUAAAUCCCACCGCUCAAAUGUGGGCUGCCAUUGGACACUGGUAGACUUGAGCACGGUAGAGGUAAGUGGAUUUCCAAGUGGAGCGGUGGAAUGCGUAGAUAUUUGGAGGAACACUAGUGCCGAAGGCGGCUGACUGGGCGGGUACUACCGCUGAGGCACGAAAGCGUGGGAAGCAAACAUGAUUAGAUACCCUGGUAGUCCACGCCGGAAACGAUGAGCCCUAAGUGUCGGAUGAAUUUUCGGCGCUGCAGUUAACGCAAUAAGUGCUCCGCCUGGGGAGUACGGUCGCAAGACUGAAACUCAAAGGAAUUGACGGGG